AUGAGGAGGGACGAAGACGCGGUCUUUCCGGAGUUUAGAGGAUUCGAUAACGUUUCGGUUGAUCAUUCCCAAACUAUUACUCUCUCGAUCGAUCAACUAGGGUUUCUUCCAAUCCAUUUUAUCCAUCUCGAUCUCGCCGCCGCAACCGCAACCGCAACCGCCACUGUAUUUUGUAUGCUUACGGGGAUUGGAAAUUUCAAGUUAUCAAACAGAGAUUUAGCAGAAGAUGUUUUGGAGUAA